rnacentral:rRNA from 1 species
GAGGAACUUGCCCCUUAAUCGAUAGUCCUCGUUUUAUCUUUCUUUGUUUUGUUUUCAGUAUGUAUAUCGCCGUUAUAAGUUUAUUUUAUUAGAUUUUAAUUUACUAAUUUUAUUAUUUUAAUUUAUUUCAGGUCAAGGUGCAGCUUAUAACUUAGUGUAGGUGAGUUACAAUAUUUUANAAUAUACGUAUUAUAUUAAUAAUUUUUUAUAUGAAGGUGGAUUUGAUAGUAAUUUAAAUUAAAGAGUUUUUUUGAUUUUAGCUCUAAAUUGAGUACACAUCGCCCGUCGCUCUAUAC